rnacentral:tRNA from 1 species
GCGUCAUUAGCUCAGUUGGUAGAGCAUAACCUUGCCAAGGUUAGGGUCGCGAGUUCGAGCCUCGUCACUCCCGCCA